AUUGAACGCUGGCGGCAGGCUUAACACAUGCAAGUCGAGCGGAGAUGAGGUGCUUGCACCCUAUCUUAGCGGCGGACGGGUGAGUAAUGCUUAGGAAUCUGCCUAUUAGUGGGGGACAACAUUCCGAAAGGAAUGCUAAUACCGCAUACGUCCUACGGGAGAAAGCAGGGGAUCUUCGGACCUUGCGCUAAUAGAUGAGCCUAAGUCGGAUUAGCUAGUUGGUGGGGUAGAGGCCUACCAAGGCGACGAUCUGUAGCGGGUCUGAGAGGAUGAUCCGCCACACUGGGACUGAGACACGGCCCAGACUCCUACGGGAGGUAGCAGUGGGGAAUAUUGGACAAUGGGGGAAACCCUGAUCCAGCCAUGCCGCGUGUGUGAAGAAGGCCUUAUGGUUGUAAAGCACUUUAAGCGAGGAGGAGGCUACUGAGACUAAUACUCUUGGAUAGUGGACGUUACUCGCAGAAUAAGCACCGGCUAACUCUGUGCCAGCCGCCGCCGUAA
rnacentral:rRNA from 1 species